GGCUGCAUCACUCAGAAUCCCCUUCUGUGACAUAUGUACAAAGGGGUGACAGGAGUGCACAUACUGCUUGACCCUCUAAUUAUACCUAAAUCUACCCUAGAAUUACUCACUGUGUUAAAUAAAAGAGGACGACAAAAUUUUACUACUUCCACGGAGUGUAGAGUCUACUUCUCCUCCUCUUGACUUUAGGUUGGCCUUAGUAGAGUCCUUGACUAAUAGGAAGUGUCAAAAGUGAUAUUCUAGAACUUCAAAGUUUAGGUCAUAAAAAUCCUUACAGUCCCUUAGGGGCCUCUUAGAAUACUUUUCCUUGAACUCUGAGUUGCCAACUGAGAAGCCCAACUACACUGAGGCCAUCCUGCUGAAGAGGUCACAUUUUCACUAGCUGAACUUAGGACAAUGUUCAAUAGCAAUGAUGUCUUCCUCUGGCUUUGUGUUAAGAACCACAUUGUCUCUUGGAGUGAUAUUGAUAUUCUUCAUCAUGUGUUGGAACAACCUUCAUCAUUAAACUAUCUAUAAGAGUACCACCAAGAGCUCUUCAGGAGUGUGAGUGACUAAUAGAUUUGCUGUGGUUAAUCAAUCUAGUGGAAGGUGCAUUGUGUAUAAGUGUCUGGAAAAUAGUAGACCAUCAAGAAGCAUUCUAUGAAUGACAGAAGACAGAUGCAACAAUUGCAGGGAAGAGAACUGUUGAUGCUGAGAAACAGGCUUCAGGCAAUAUUCCAACUCUGAUUGGGAGACAUCUCAGCUGCAUCAGCAUUGAAUCAUUAUGGCCACCUUUGCCACAUUUCUAUUUCUGGUACAUGUGCCUAGAAACAUCCUUAGGAGUAAGAACUAUAUUCAAAGUAUUCAACAACUGCUAGAGCGUAGACACUGAUCAAUCAAACCAGGGGCCAUCCAUAUGCAGCAGAGCAAGGUCCUAAAAGCUGCUUACUCUGCUAGAUAUUAUAUU